GUAAGAUAUGAUGAAUACUUGCAGGCGAACUUGAUCGAUUUAUUUGUAAUAGCACGAGUUGUAAACCUCAUUCCGAUUGCGAUUCACUUUUUACCAGCUGCGUGAGCGCGCGCGUUCAACAUUCCGAUAAUGUAGAAAAUGGUUAAUUAGGAAUUCCUGUCGAUUCCAGCAAAAAUACUUGAAGCUGAAAUACAUCAAAACAUCCAUCGAUGAUGCCAUUGAAAUAUUCUCUGAAUGCCAUGCACGAGCGAGAAUUUUCCCAUUUUGGUAUUUUAAUAACCCUUGCUAGAGGAAAACGCUCAAAUAAAUAAAUAUUUUCAAUAUGUGCGCGACUGGUGGAGGAUGCACACAUUGAUGCCUUCCUCAGGCGAAGAAAAUAUACAAAGUGUUGUAAAACCUCAACAAAAUCAAUUUUUACGAAUUUUUAUUUGUAUGAAACAGUUAGUUUUGAGAGGUGACAGAAUAUAUUUUCCUGACGCGCU